rnacentral:rRNA from 1 species
CAGGCUUAACACAUGCAAGUCGAGGGGCAGCAUGGUCUUAGCUUGCUAAGGCCGAUGGCGACCGGCGCACGGGUGAGUAACGCGUAUCCAACCUGCCUUACACUCUUGGACAGCCUUCUGAAAGGGAGAUUAAUACAAGAUGUUAUCAUGAGUAAGCAUUUUCACAUGAUUAAAGGUUUACCGGUGUAAGAUGGGGAUGCGUUCCAUUAGAUAGUAGGCGGGGUAACGGCCCACCUAGUCUUCGAUGGAUAGGGGUUCUGAGAGGAAGGUCCCCCACAUUGGAACUGAGACACGGUCCAAACUCCUACGGGAGGCAGCAGUGAGGAAUAUUGGUCAAUGGACGAGAGUCUGAACCAGCCAAGUAGCGUGAAGGAUGAAGGUUCUAUGGAUUGUAAACUUCUUUUAUACGGGAAUAAACGAAUCCACGUGUGGAUUUUUGCAUGUACCGUAUGAAUAAGGAUCGGCUAACUCCGUGCCAGCAGCCGCGGUAAUACGGAGGAUCCGAGCGUUAUCCGGAUUUAUUGGGUUUAAAGGGAGCGUAGAUGGGUUGUUAAGUCAGUUGUGAAAGUUUGCGGCUCAACCGUAAAAUUGCAAUUGAUACUGGCAGUCUUGAGUACAGUUGAGGUAGGCGGAAUUCGUGGUGUAGCGGUGAAAUGCUUAGAUAUCACGAAGAACUCCGAUUGCGAAGGCAGCUUACUAACCUGUAACUGACAUUGAUGCUCGAAAGUGUGGGUAUCAAACAGGAUUAGAUACCCUGGUAGUCCACACGGUAAACGAUGAAUACUCGCUGUAGGCGAUAUACAGUCUGCGGCCAAGCGAAAGCAUUAAGUAUUCCACCUGGGGAGUACGCCGGCAACGGUGAAACUCAAAGGAAUUGACGGGGGCCCGCACAAGCGGAGGAACAUGUGGUUUAAUUCGAUGAUACGCGAGGAACCUUACCCGGGCUUAAAUUGCAACCGAAUAUGGCGGAAACGCUAUAGCUAGCAAUAGCGGUUGUGAAGGUGCUGCAUGGUUGUCGUCAGCUCGUGCCGUGAGGUGUCGGCUUAAGUGCCAUAACGAGCGCAACCCUUGCCGAUAGUUACUAACAGGUUAUGCUGAGGACUCUGUCGGGACUGCCAUCGUAAGAUGUGAGGAAGGUGGGGAUGACGUCAAAUCAGCACGGCCCUUACGUCCGGGGCUACACACGUGUUACAAUGGGGGGUACAGAGGGCUGCUACCACGCAAGUGGAUGCCAAUCCCAAAAACCUCUCUCAGUUCGGAUUGGAGUCUGCAACCCGACUUCAUGAAGCUGGAUUCGCUAGUAAUCGCGCAUCAGCCACGGCGCGGUGAAUACGUUCCCGGGCCUUGUACACACCGCCCGUCAAGCCAUGGGAGCCGGGGGUACCUGAAGUGCGUAACCGCAAGGAGCGCCCUAGGGUAAAACUGGUGACUGG